rnacentral:rRNA from 1 species
AUACGUAGGGGGCGAGCGUUGUCCGGAAUGAUUGGGCGUAAAGGGCGCGUAGGCGGCCCGGUAAGUCUGGAGUGAAAGUCCUGUUUUUAAGAUGGGAAUUGCUUUGGAUACUGUCGGGCUUGAGUGCAGGAGAGGUAAGUGGAAUUCCCAGUGUAGCGGUGAAAUGCGUAGAGAUUGGGAGGAACACCAGUGGCGAAGGCGAGGGCCGGAACUGUAAAUAGCUCUGAGGGUCGACAGUGUGGGGAGCAAUAAUGGUUAGAUGCCCGGGUAGUCCACCCUGUAAGCGAAGAAUGCUAGGUGUAGGGGGUCUCGCCCCGGGAGGGGCCGCAGACAACUGAAUCUGAAUUCCGUCUGGGGAGUACGGGCGCAAGGUUGAAACUCAAAUGUAUGGCAGGG